UGAUGGCUGUUCUGCUCACUGCGUGGAGCCUUAAGUAGUGAGAUUUUAGGCCAUCAUACAUCUAAACUGACUUGUUUUCAUUCAGGGCACCGUGGGUUAGCUGUCUGUCACUCACUGCCUUUUGAUUUUUGCAGACUCAAACAAUU
rnacentral:snoRNA from 1 species